rnacentral:rRNA from 1 species
CAGUAGCCGCGGGAACACGGAGGGGGCUAGCGUUGUUCGGAAUUACUGGGCGUAAAGCGCACGUAGGUGGCUUGGUAAGUUAGAGGUGAAAGCCUGGAGCUCAACUCCAGAAUUGCCUUUAAGACUGCCGAGCUAGCAGGUGAGAGAGGUAAGUGGAAUUCCGAGUGUAGAGGUGAAAUUCGUAGAUAUUCGGAAGAACACCAGUGGCGAAGGCGGCUUACUGGCUCAUACUGGACGCUGAGGUGCGAAAGCGUGGGGAGCAAACAGGAUUAGAUACCCCUGUAGUCCCUGUCUCUUAUAC